AUCAAUUCUAAGAAAAAUCCUAAAUCAAUGAGUUAACUCCAUCUCUAAUCGCUCUCCCAACCGAAAACCCGCAUCAUGCUAAUUUUUCGGAUCUGUAAGAAAAACAUAAAACUUAUCAUGAGCUAAAUAGUCCAGUAAGCAGUGUAUACCUUUAACUGAAUAAUCAGGCAAAUAAUACUAUGCAUAACAAAUCAAUAUGUAAUUUCAUGAAAUCAUAUUCAUACU
rnacentral:lncRNA from 1 species